rnacentral:rRNA from 1 species
UGAGCAACCUGCCCUUGACACUGGAAUAACAGUUGGAAACAGCUGCUAAUACCGGAUACGACCUUCGAUGGCAUCAUCUGGAGGUGGAAAGUUCCGACGGUCAAGGAUGGGCUCGCGGCCUAUCAGCUUGUUGGUGGGGUGAUGGCCUACCAAGGCGACGACGGGUAGCCGGCCUGAGAGGGCGACCGGCCACACUGGGACUGAGACACGGCCCAGACUCCUACGGGAGCAG